AAAUUUAAUUUCAACCUAGAGUUUCGUUGUAUAUAUAGAUGUGAUAAUAA
rnacentral:guide_RNA from 1 species